UACGUUUGACCACUCAAUGGUUUGACAGAGAAUUUGGAUACGACGUCCCUGUACUUCCCAGGACAGCAUAGAGACACUAGAUCUAUCACUAUGGAUGAUACAUCACAAUAUAGCAAAGCAAAGACGUCUGUGGACACUUGGCUAGAGGAAUUCAAUAAACGUGACACGACGUGUACGUAACAGCUGCUGCAAGGUCUGUCUGCUUUUGAAGUCUGUUGUACUACCGAUGCUUGAUGGUGAACCUUUUCAACCACAUCUAGUACACGUAUAAGGAUGGGGAGCACUGGUUGAAGGAUGAGCCAGUGGAUAACUACAUGAGGUGAGUUUGUACUACUGGAGAGGAAGUAUAAUGUGGCAAGAUAGUCUGUGCUAAAUACAGUCAGCUAAGUUUGAGAAAAAAGUGAAGAGUCUCAAGAUCGCUAAGAAAGUGCGCGAGUGUGUGUUGACUGUUUAGGAAUAAUUAUUAUUAAUUUUAUGCUUGCCCAUAAUUACUUUUCAACUUAGUGAAGUUUUACACCUCAGAUAAAUUAUUUGUCUCUGUAUUGAAUUGUGCACACAACCUACGUACCCAUAUAGUGGGUUAUUUUCG